rnacentral:rRNA from 1 species
GAUGAACGCUGGCGGCGUGCCUAAUACAUGCAAGUCGAGCGAACAGACGAGGAGCUUGCUCCUCUGACGUUAGCGGCGGACGGGUGAGUAACACGUGGAUAACCUACCUAUAAGACUGGGAUAACUUCGGGAAACCGGAGCUAAUACCGGAUAAUAUAUUGAACCGCAUGGUUCAAUAGUGAAAGACGGUUUUGCUGUCACUUAUAGAUGGAUCCGCGCCGCAUUAGCUAGUUGGUAAGGUAACGGCUUACCAAGGCAACGAUGCGUAGCCGACCUGAGAGGGUGAUCGCCCACACUGAAACUGAGACACGGUCCAGACUCCUACGGGAGGCACCAGUAGGGAAUCUUCCGCAAUGGGCGAAAGCCUGCCGGAGCACCGCCGCGUGAGUGAUGAAGUUCUUCGGAUCGUAAACCUCUGUUAUUAGGGAAGAACAAAUUUGUAAGUAACUAUGCCCGUCUGGCCGGUACCUAAUCAGAAAGCCCCGCCUACUUCCGU